UACGUAGGUGGCAAGCGUUGUCCGGAAUUAUUGGGCGUAAAGCGCUCGCAGGCGGUCUUUUAAGUCUGAUGUGAAAUCUCGUGGCUUAACCACGAACGGUCAUUGGAAACUGGAGGACUUGAGUACAGAAGAGGAGAGUGGAAUUCCACGUGUAGCGGUGAAAUGCGUAGAGAUGUGGAGGAACACCAGUGGCGAAGGCGACUCUCUGGUCUGUAACUGACGCUGAGGCUCGAAAGCUAGGGGAGCAAACAGG
rnacentral:rRNA from 1 species